AUUGAACGCUGGCGGCAGGCCUAACACAUGCAAGUCGAACGGUAACAGGAAGAAGGUUGCUUCUUUCAUGACGAGUGGCGGACGGGAGGGUAAUGUCUGGGACACUGCGUGAUGGAGGGGGAUAACUACUGGAAACGGUAGCUAAAACCGCAUAACGUCGCAAGACCAAAAAGGGGGAGAUUCGGGGCUCUUGGCAUCGGAUGUGCCCAGAUGGGAUUAGCUAGUAGGUGGGGUAAAGGCCCACCUAGGCGACGAUCCCUAGCUGGUCUGAGAGGAUGACCAGCCACACUGGAACUGAGACACGGUCCAGACUCCUACGGGAGGCAGCAGUGGGGAAUAUUGGACAAUGGGCGCAAGCCUGAUGCAGCCAUGCCGCGUGUAUGAAGAAGGCCUUCGGGUUGUAAAGUACUUUCAGCGGGGAGGAAGGGAGUAAAGUUAAUACCUUUGCGCAUUGACGUUACCCGCAGAAGAAGCACCGGCUAACUCCGUG
rnacentral:rRNA from 1 species